UGUGUUAGUGGAAGCGUCUGGAAAGGCGCGCGAUACAGGGUGACAGCCCCGUACACAAAAGCGCAUAUGCUGUGAGCUCGAUGAGUAGGGCGGGACACGUGGUAUCCUGUCUGAAUAUGGGGGGACCAUCCUCCAAGGCUAAAUACUCCUGACUGACCGAUAGUGAACCAGUACCGUGAGGGAAAGGCGAAAAGAACCCCGGCGAGGGGAGUGAAACAGAACCUGAAACCGUGUACGUACAAGCAGUGGGAGC
rnacentral:rRNA from 1 species